GGAUGGGUGGCUGAGUGGUCUAAAGCAACGGUCUUGAAAACCGUCACCUGGGUAACUGGGUCGUGAGUUCGAAUCUCACCCCAUCCG
rnacentral:tRNA from 1 species